rnacentral:lncRNA from 1 species
AUGCGGGUUGGAGAAGCAGGCUCUGUGUGGGAAGGAGCUCUGGAAACUAGAGAAGCUCUCAUUUUGUAUCGGAGUGCCUGUGCUGAGCAAGCAGUGUGCUGGGCGCGCUACUCUUCCACAGGCCAGCCAGCUUGGAGGGAGGUGAUCUGGCUGGGGAUGGCGGCUGGUCUUACGGGUCCUCUACAGGGAGAAGGAAGAAAAGGGGGCCUGUUUCUUUCUGUGCUUUAUAAUAAGGGAACCUGGGAAGCACACUUGAGUUCACAGCUGGCCUGUGGUUUUUACAUCUCGUCAGGGACCACUCUCUUCACACCCUUAUCUUCACUCCUCCCCAUACAGACUGCAUCCAGCGCUAGCCUACCAUGUGGUGAUGAAGGAGCCUCCCUCCCGCCUACUCACCUUAAAGAGACACUGUUGAGCAUCUGUAAAAAAAGAAUUAGUUUCUUUAAAAAUGGAAGAAGUUACAAGCCAUUAAAGGUGCUGAGCAGACGGGAAAACAAAAGGUGGCAUUUUUCUGAAGUUGCUCAUUGAGACUUCUCAGCAUUUCUACAGAUAUAAUAG